GACGAACGCUGGCGGCGUGCCUAAUACAUGCCAGUCGAACGAGAGUGACCGGUGCUUGCACUGGUCAAUCUAGUGGCGAACGGGUGAGUAACACGUGGGUAACCUGCCCAUCAGAGGGGGAUAACAUCCGGAAACGGAUGCUAAAACCGCAUAGGUCUUCGAGCCGCAUGGCUUGAAGAGGAAAAGAGGCGCAAGCUUCUGCUGAUGGAUGGACCCGCGGUGCAUUAGCUAGUUGGUGAGGUAACGGCUCACCAAGGCCGUGAUGCAUAGCCGACCUGAGAGGGUGAUCGGCCACAUUGGGACUGAGACACGGCCCAAACUCCUACGGGAGGCAGCAGUAGGGAAUCUUCCGCAAUGGACGCAAGUCUGACGGAGCAACGCCGCGUGAGUGAAGAAGGUUUUCGGAUCGUAAAACUCUGUUGUUAGAGAAGAACAAGUGCUAGAGUAACUGUUAGCGCCUUGACGGUAUCUAACCAGAAAGCCACGGCUAACUACGUG
rnacentral:rRNA from 1 species